UUUUUCUCAUUAAAACUUUCUGGAAGUGCAAGUCUGAGGCAUAGGCACCUGGCUUUACAGGAACUAUGUUGUGGCAAGAGAAGGACUUGGCUAUUGAUGAGAAACCUCUGUUUCACUUUAGAAUCCACAACCAGAAAUGUCCAAGUGAGCGAGAGAUAUGCAAAGCUCCAACUGGCACAGACUGGAAUUCUAGAGUAAAAGAAAAUCCUCAGGACUCCGCAUGGUGCCCUUUAAGUACCAAGCUGCUUAAAAUAUCAUUCUGUUUAUUGUAAUUUGAUGUGUGAAAUU
rnacentral:lncRNA from 10 species